rnacentral:siRNA from 1 species
UGAAAACGGGUGGGUCUAUUGG